UACGUAGGUGGCGAGCGUUGUCCGGAUUUACUGGGCGUAAAGAGCGCGCAGGCGGUCGUACAAGUCGCGUGUGAAAGCCCCCGGCUCAACCGGGGAAGUGGGGCCGAAACGACCCGUCUGGAGGGACGUAGGGGGACCUGGAACUUCCGGUGGAGCGGUGAAAUGCGUUGAGAUCGGAAGGAACGCCCGUGGCGAAAGCGAGGUCCUGGACGUCUACUGACGCUGAGACGCGAAAGCUAGGGGAGCAAACGGG
rnacentral:rRNA from 1 species